rnacentral:lncRNA from 1 species
AUGCCGCGCGGUGUCUCGUUCGUGCGGUGUGGAGGCAGCGCGCGCCUGAACGCGUGUCGCGCGAGGCCGGAGGAGUGCGGGAGUUUAACUGGAUGCCGCUUGAUGCAGCAGAGACGUGCGUCCAGACUCCGAGGAAACGCGUGGCACACAAUAAAACACAACGUGACAAAUCCAACCUUUCCAGGUCCGCGUCCACAGAACCGGAGCCUGAAGCGUCGGACCUGUUGUUGGACUGUUUGUGCGUCAGAGCUCACCUCUGAACGCGCUCCCGUCUCAACACAGCGUUGUUUGCAGCCGUUUGGGCUCAGUGUGAGUUGGUUCUUCUCCUCCUGAUGAAACGUGUGUGUUUGUAGCUCAUCCAGGCAGCAGCUCUUCUCUCUGUGCAGCUGCAGAUGAAGCAUGAUGCUGAGAUGCUGCCGCUGUCAUCACAUAUUCAUAGGCUAAACAUGUAGCUCAUGAGCCACUGUGUGUAUUUUUAGCUGGAUGCCUGAGCUCCCAGCUCCCUCAUGUGCCACAUUAUUUUUAGUCUCCACCAUCCAAGACUCAGACUCAGAAUUGGCUUGACACAAACCCCAACACUCGUUUUUUCCCGUCAGCGUCGGACCCUCAGACGGACACUGAGCUGGUGAAGGACGGCGUCAGUGUUGUGCUCAUCACUCAUGUGUGAAGGCACACAGGCAGACACAGCCUGGACGCUGCAGUUCCCCUUUGGCAGCCAUGUUGACUCCACAGUCUGGUCCAUGGCUGUUGCCAUAGUAACGGAUGCUGAUGUGCAGAGAGCUGGGCUGCUGCCACAGCCCUGCUGUGCAGGACGCUGUAACAUACCUGCAAAAUAAGGUUGAGGAACAACUGCUGAAGUCAUGAACAGUCACAUUAGUCCAUCUGUUUUAACUGACAAUUUAAUCUGUUUGGAGCCACUGAGAAAAGUUUUAGUAUGAUUUGCUGGAAUUUUGCAAACCAUCCAUAAGAAAGACUUUUAAACAACUUCUGAUCUACAGCAAUGUAAUUAUAAUAAAAUAAUAGCAAUAUUUAAAUUUGGCUUAAUG